GACAGAGGGGGCAAGCGUUGUUCGGAGUUACGGGGCGUAAAGGGCGCGGAGGCGGUCGGCGACGUCGGCGCUGAAAGCGCCCGGCUUAACCGGGCGAGGCGUCCCGAUACUCGCAGGCUCGAGGCGGGCAGAGGGAGGUGGAAUUCCUGGUGGAGCGGUGAAAUGCGUAGAGAUCCGGAGGAACGCCAGUGGGGAAGCCGGCCACCUAGGCCCGUCCUGACGCUGCGGCGCGACAGCGUGGGGAGCAAACCGG
rnacentral:rRNA from 1 species